UUGCACGCUGGCGGCAGGCCUAACACAUGCAAGUCGCACGGUAACAGGAAGCAGCUUGCUGCUUCGCUGACGAGUGGCGGACGGGUGAGUAAUGUCUGGGAAACUGCCUGAUGGAGGGGGAUAACUACUGGAAACGGUAGCUAAUACCGCAUAACGUCGCAAGACCAAAGAGGGGGACCUUAGGGCCUCUUGCCAUCGGAUGUGCCCAGAUGGGAUUAGCUAGUAGGUGGGGUAACGGCUCACCUAGGCGACGAUCCCUAGCUGGUCUGAGAGGAUGACCAGCCACACUGGAACUGAGACACGGUCCAGACUCCUACGGGAGGCAGCAGUGGGGAAUAUUGCACAAUGGGCGCAAGCCUGAUGCAGCCAUGCCGCGUGUAUGAAGAAGGCCUUCGGGUUGUAAAGUACUUUCAGCGGGGAGGAAGGGAGUAAAGUUAAUACCUUUGCUCAUUGAUGUUACCCGCAGAAGAAGCACCGGCUAACUCCGUG
rnacentral:rRNA from 1 species